UACGUAGGGCGCAAGCGUUGUCCGGAAUUAUUGGGCGUAAAGAGCUCGUAGGCGGUUUGUCGCGUCUGCUGUGAAAACCUGAGGCUCAACCUCGGGCUUGCAGUGGGUACGGGCAGACUAGAGUGCGGUAGGGGUGACUGGAAUUCCUGGUGUAGCGGUGGAAUGCGCAGAUAUCAGGAGGAACACCGAUGGCGAAGGCAGGUCACUGGGCCGCAACUGACGCUGAGGUGCGAAAGCAUGGGGAGCGAACAGG
rnacentral:rRNA from 1 species